UACAGAGGUCUCAAGCGUUGUUCGGAAUCACUGGGCGUAAAGGGUGCGUAGGCGGCAUGGUAAGUCAGAUGUGAAAUCCCAGAGCUCAACUCCGGAAUUGCAUCCGAUACUGCCAUGCUUGAGGACUGGAGAGGAGUCUGGAACUCAUGGUGGAGCAGUGAAAUGCGUAGAUAUCAUGAGGAACGCUAGUGGCGUAGGCGGGUUGCUGGGCUGACACUGACGCUGAGGCGCGAAAGCCAGGGGAGCGAACGGG
rnacentral:rRNA from 1 species